CCUACGGGCGGCAGCAGUAGGGAAUAUUGCUCAAUGGGGGAAACCCUGAAGCAGCAACGCCGCGUGGAGGAUGAAGGUUUUCGGAUUGUACACUCCUUUUGUUAGAGAAGAUAAUGACGGUAUCUAACGAAUAAGCACCGGCUAAAUCCGUGCCAGCAGCCGCGGUACAACGGAGGGUGCAAGCGUUAAUCGGAAUCACUGGGCGUAAAGAGCGCGUAGGCGGGAUAGCAAGGCAGAUGUGAAAUCCUAUGGCUUAACCAUAGAACUGCAUUUGAAACUGUUAUUCUUGAGUAUGGGAGAGGUAGGUGGAAUUCUUGGUGUAGGGGUAAAAUCCGUAGAGAUCAAGAGGAAUACUCAUUGCGAAGGCGACCUGCUAGAACAUAACUGACGCUGAUGCGCGAAAGCGUGGGGAGCAAACAGGAUUAGAUACCCGGGUAGUC
rnacentral:rRNA from 1 species